rnacentral:rRNA from 1 species
UUCCUUGGAAAGGACAGCUGAGAGGGUGAAACUCCCGUCCGCCUGGUAGAAUGAGUCUUUGUCAACGAGUCGAGUUGUUUGGGAUUGCAGCUCUAAUUUGGUGGUAAAUUCCAUCUAAAGCUAAAUAUUGGUGGGAGACCGAUAGCGUACAAGUACCGUGAGGGAAAGAUGCAAAGAACUUUGAAAAGAGAGUUAAAGAGUACCUGAAAUUGCUGAAACGGAAGCGAAGGAAACCAGUGUUUGUUGGUUCAUAUUUCCUUGGCCACUUGUGGUUUGGGCG